AUGACAGUGGGCCAAACGAAGCACACGGAAGCGUCAGCUAUGGUUCGUACGUACUGUGUUGUUGGUUGCAACGGUAGAUCACACGAUAGGGAAGGCAAGAAGCUGGAAAUGGGCUCUCUUUUCAUCGUUUCCCCUCCUGGAGGCAACGGGAGGGAUCUCAUGUAUCCGAUAUUACUAAACGAAGACGUCAGGCUUGGAUUGCAGCGGUCAGACUCGGACCGGCACGCAAGGCGAGUGCAACGAAAGCGAAAAAGAGCACCCAUCGGAGCUGCAGAGUAUGAAGGUGUGCCCCGUGCAGAAGUAAUAGAUGAAGAUCUGACAUCAUAUCAUGUGAGGGUGAAGACACAACACUGCUUGAUAAGAAUGUUAAGGUGUGCUGUGUUUUGGUGAAUAUGUGCCCUAGUGUGGUUGUCAAACCAGGGCCAAAUGAAACUGCUGUGUUGCAUGUACAGUUCAUUGUAAAUAAUUGUACUUUCUGUAAAGUGGUUUCAAUAAAACAGAAAUGAAAAGUAUGUUUAUUUAUUUUUUUAUUCAAGAUCUGUUCACAUGUACUUAGCAAGUACAUGUGCAGGUACACAUGAAAUGCAAACUAUUUACAUGGCAACGCACAGCUGGCAUCAAUCGUGAAUCGUUCAUCUAGAGCAAUUUUGGGGGCAGCUGCUGAGGAGAAGUCAAUGUUAUGUGCAACCUCUGUCUGUAUCUUGGUCAUAUGGUCAACGUACUCACAACGUGGAGGCUUAAAAAUGGCCAAAUCUUAUACCCAACCGUUUGUGUAUUAGAUGUGCGCCUCCAGGAAUUUAUAAUUCCGAAAAUGAUUCGCCGUGUAUGCACUGACUCCACAGACAAGGUACGCGAAAAUAUCGGGAUAGGACAACGGCGGUAGGCUGUGUUUCCACUCCACUGCCGUAUUUCAUACGGGUCCACAUUACCGAUGCACGCUAUUUUUUCCAAGUACCGUCUCUUGGCGUCUGGGCGCAAUCGGUCGCGAUACAGCCCUUUGUCUUUUGCGCUGAUUUUAAGCAUGGUUCUGACAGUCCUGCUUCCAACACAACAGUGUGUUUGUUUUGAUUUGUGGCCUUCUGUCAUGGCGCCGCGAUCCCACAAUGCACUGCGGCGUGACGUCAACUCCAAAGCCCUAUUGGGACACAGCCAUAUUGACACCACAGGGAAGUAAAACACAACACAAUGAGGAAGGAACAUAAGACUCUUUCAAAAUAAAACAGGAAACAUGGAGAAAAACACAGUAAUCAAAUAAUGAAAUUAAAUUACACAAAGCACUGGGUCGCAGACCUACUACUGUGACACACACAAAACAACAAAAACAUAUGAGGGGCCAUACAAGCCAAACAAAAAACGUAUGCACUGUCGUUAUGGUCAGAGGAAGCUUUGUGAAGCUUUGAAACAUGUAUUAAGGUUUAUCACUUAGAACUUUUCAACAUGGUCCUGUUUGGUUGUCAAAAAUAUGUAGUAUGAAUCUACAACUUGAAAUGAAGUGCUUCAUUAUGAUUGCCCACACUACAGAGCUGAAUUGACAGCUUCAUUUUUUCGGAUCCUGGUUUAGCAGAUCGCUGCCAUCUACUGGCUGGCUGGAGUUUUAAUUGUGUUUUCCAGUAUCUGCUGCACCACCAAGUUCAGUAUUUAGUAACCCGUGUUGAGUUUGAUGAGCAGCUCACAGCUGGAGCUCUGUGUGUUCAGUCUGAAGGUUUCAGGUAAACCAGCCUGUAGCUCCAGGUUGGCUGCACAGUUUGUGACAAACAUCAGAGCUCCUGCUGUUCACAUCAGGCUGCUCUCAUCCUUCCUUCUGCUCCCACAUUUAUACUGUGAGCAGCUCUGACUGACAACAUGCUGUCACACUGAAAACUUCACAUCAGCUUCUUCCUCCUCAACAAUUCAUCUUUACAGUCUGAUCUGCAGCUUCAAGGACCUCUCUGCUCCUGACUCUGUGCUGCUUUCAUUCACAUUUAGACCAUAUUCAUCAAAUGUUAUGUUAAUUUCUGAUGCUAGGGUUCAGUUUUCUAUGGUGCUGAUCGUAGGGUGUGCACUGGUUAAAUGCUUGUAUGGCCCUCAAGCAAAUGACAAGGCCAGGUGAUGAUCUUCCAGUUCUUUAAUUGGCAGAUUUUGCAGAACACUUGCGUAUGUGGGUUUGGCUGUGGUUGUUCUACAAAACAGAACACAGACUACAAUCCAAUGUAAACCACAAUAAUCACAUUAUUCGUAUGUCUGCAUUUGUUUCUCAGAAUAUAAAUCCACACUUGACUCUGUUGUUAG
rnacentral:lncRNA from 1 species